UUGCGCAAGAUUUAUGGUCCUCAGAACAUUGGCAACGGCGAAUACCGCAGACGAUGGAACGAUGAGCUGUACGAGUUAUACGACGACAUUGACAUAGUUCAGCGAAUAAAAAGACAGCGGCUACGCUGGCUAGGUCAUGUUGUCCGAAUGGACGAAAACACUCCAGCACUGAAAGUGUUCGAUGCAGUACCCGCCGGAGGAAGCCGAGGAAGGGGAAGGCCUCCACUCCGUUGGAGGGACCAGGUGGAGAGCGACCUGGUUAAACUUGGGAUCUCCAACUGGCGCCGAACUGCGAAGGAGAGAGAGAGGUGGCGCACUAUCGUCGAUUCGGCUAUAACCGGCUAAACGGUUGCAACGCCAAUCACAUACAUAGUGUAAAUAUGUACAUAUAUACCUACUUAUAUGCAGUUGGAUUUAGCAACAUGCUAAUUGUAUAAUUGUUUCUAUUUAUUUAAUUAAUUUAAGAUCAACCCCGAAUGUUAAUGGAAUGGCAGAAAACAACUUGAAGAGAUGAAGCCAUACAUAAACCAGGUAAAGUCUAAGACGUCUCUUUUGAAACCACUAGGAGUAAAUAAAAAUUUGGACCGGUACUGGCCGACACUCUUGUACAGAUGAUGUGCAUGGUAAAUAAAAUUGUAAAAAAAGUAUAAAUACAAAUUAAUAUUCUUUAUUAGAUAACAUUUAAAUAAAAUAUGUUUUUUUUUUUUUUUUAAUUUUGUAUGGAAUACACUAGGUAGGUAAGGAGGUAGUGAUAAAAGUAGUGAAUUAUAACAGCCUGUAAGUAGUGAGGUAGAUAAUGAAAUAUAGUCAGUGAUAUGUGGUGAACAGAGAACAGCAUUUGCUGAAUGAAAAACAUUCGUACGCGCUCAACAGCCGAAUAAUCACACUGUUCGGAUCAGCCGAUCAAACUUGCCUGAGCUCACAUUUUCGUUGUUAAAGCUGCUUUCGACAGCACUCGUUAAAUUCACUCGUAUGUGUGCGAUUUUUUGUUUCACUCCGAGUUUGUUCGGCUCGUGUUCAAUAUAAUGAUUUCGGGCGCUUGCUCAUUCGGUUCAACAAUCAUUGUUUUGAACAAGAACAACACUCAACUCGCAAAAAUCAACUCGUAUGAUUUUACUCAUGCGCGCAGCAAGCGGCACUUUUUCUGCACAGAUGAAAUGUGAGAAGAAGAACAAGACAAGC